UAAUACGGAGGAUCCAAGCGUUAUCCGGAUUUAUUGGGUUUAAAGGGUGCGUAGGCGGGCCUUUAAGUCAGCGGUGAAAGUUCGUGGCUCAACCACGGAAUUGCCGUUGAUACUACUGGCCUUGAGUGUGGACGAGGUGUGCGGAAUUCGUGGUGUAGCGGUGAAAUGCUUAGAUAUCACGAAGAACACCGAUUGCGUAGGCAGCUCACCAGACCACAACUGACGCUGAGGCACGAAGGUGCGGGGAUCAAACAGG
rnacentral:rRNA from 1 species